UACAGAUGGUGCGAGCGUUAUUCAUAUUGAAUGGGCGUAAAGGGUAUGUAGGCGGUGUCAAAAAAUUUCGUCCGAAACACUGGAGUCGUAACUGCAGGAGGAGACUUUUAGAUUAUUGCGCUGGAGUUAAUAUCGGGUCGGAGGAAUUUCCAGCACUAAAGGUAGAAUUUGUAAAUUCUGGAAAGAAUGCCAAAGGUGAAGACAUCCCUCUAGAGUUAACUGACGCUGAGGUACGAAAGCAUAGGGAGCAAACAGG
rnacentral:rRNA from 1 species